GAGUUUGAUCAUGGCUCAGAUUGAACGCUGGCGGCAUGCUUUACACAUGCAAGUCGAACGGCAGCACGGGGGCAACCCUGGUGGCGAGUGGCGAACGGGUGAGUAACGCGUCGGAACAUGCCCAGUAGUGGGGGAUAACACAUCGAAAGAUGUGCUAAUACCGCAUACGCACUGAGGUGGAAAGCGGGGGAUCGCAAGACCUCGCGCUAUUGGAGUGGCCGAUGUCCGAUUAGCUAGUUGGUGGGGUAAUGGCCUACCAAGGCGACGAUCGGUAGCUGGUCUGAGAGGAUGAUCAGCCACACUGGGACUGAGACACGGCCCAGACUCCUACGGGAGGCAGCAGUGGGGAAUUUUGGACAAUGGGCGCAAGCCUGAUCCAGCCAUGCCGCGUGAGUGAAGAAGGCCUUCGGUUGU
rnacentral:rRNA from 1 species